AUACGGAGGAUGCAAGCGUUAUCCGGAUUUAUUGGGUUUAAAGGGUGCGUAGGCGGGACUGUAAGUCAGGGGUGAAAUACUGCAGCUUAACUGUAGCCUUUCCUUUGAAACUGCCGUUCUUGAGUACAGGUGAGGUAGGCGGAAUGUGGUGUGUAGGGGUGGAAUGCAUAGAUAUACCACAUAACGCCGAUUGCGAAAGCAGCUUACUAAGCUGUUACUGACGCUGAGGCAUGAAAGCGUGGGGAUCAAACAGUAUUAGAUACCCUGGUAGUCCACACUGUAAACGAUGAUUACUGGUUGUUAGCGAUAUAUAGCUAGUGACUGAGCGAAAGCAUUAAGUAAUCCACCAGGGGAGUACGUCGGCAACGAUGAAACUCAAAGGAAUUGGCGGGG
rnacentral:rRNA from 1 species